rnacentral:rRNA from 1 species
GGCCUUUUGACUAUAAUUUAAGGUUUGGCCUGCCCAGUGAGGAUUAAAUGGCCGCGGUAUUUUGACCGUGCUAAGGUAGCAUAAUCAUUAGUUUCUUAAUUAGAAACUGGAAUGAAAGGUUUGAUGAGAAAAUAACUGUCUCUUGAAUUUAAAUAGAAUUUUAUUUUUAAGUAAAAAAGCUUAAAUUUAACUGAAAGACGAGAAGACCCUGUAGAGUUUAAUAAAUUAAUUUUAUUAAUUAUUUUUGUAAUUUAGAUUGAUAAAUAAAAUUAUUUAUUUAAUUGGGGUGAUUGGAAAAUUUAAGUAACUUUUGUUUUUAUCUUACAUUAAUUAAUGGUUUGCUGAUCCAAUGUUUUUGAUUAUAAGAAAUAAUUACCUCAGGGAUAACAGCGUAAUCUUUUUUUAGAGUUCAAAUCGAUAAAAGGGGUUGCGA